UCCAUCAUGGUGUAGUGCCUAACAUUAUCGCCUCUCAUGUGGAUGCGUUCCCAAAAGGUUUCACGAGCGCGAUAGCCCAGGGUUCGAUUCCCUGUGAUGGAA